AGAGUUUGAUCAUGGCUCAGGACGAACGCUGGCGGCGUGCUUAACACAUGCAAGUCGAGCGGAAAGGCCCUUCGGGGUACUCGAGCGGCGAACGGGUGAGUAACACGUGAGUAACCUGCCCCUAGCUCUGGGAUAGCUCCGGGAAACCGGGAUUAAUACCAGAUACAACCACUUUAGACAUCUGUUGUGGUGGAAAGAAUUUUGGCUAGGGAUGGACUCGCGGCCUAUCAGCUUGUUGGUGAGGUAACGGCCCACCAAGGCGACGACGGGUAGCCGGCCUGAGAGGGCGACCGGCCACACUGGGACUGAGACACGGCCCAGACUCCUACGGGAGGCAGCAGUGGGGAAUAUUGCGCAAUGGGCGAAAGCCUGACGCAGCGACGCCGCGUGGGGGAUGAAGGCCUUCGGGUUGUAAACCCCUUUCAGCAGGGACGAAGCGAAAGUGACGGUACCUGCAGAAGAAGCGCCGGCUAACUACGUGCCAGCAGCCGCGGUAACACGUAGGGCGCAAGCGUUGUCCGGAAUUAUUGGGCGUAAAGAGCUCGUAGGCGGUCUGUUGCGUCCGCUGUGAAAACUCGGGGCUUAACCCUGAGCUUGCAGUGGAUACGGGCAGACUAGAGGUAGGUAGGGGAGAAUGGAAUUCCCGGUGUAGCGGUGAAAUGCGCAGAUAUCGGGAGGAACACCGGUGGCGAAGGCGGUUCUCUGGGCCUUACCUGACGCUGAGGAGCGAAAGCGUGGGGAGCGAACAGGAUUAGAUACCCUGGUAGUCCACGCCGUAAACGUUGGGCGCUAGGUGUGGGAUCCUUCCACGGAUUCCGUGCC
rnacentral:rRNA from 1 species